rnacentral:rRNA from 1 species
CUUCGGGAGUCUUUUCGUUAAGACCCGAGUUCGGAGUCCUCGGUCUUCGGAUCGUGUUCUCUCAGAUGCGUCGCGCCGAUCGCCUGAUGGGUCACUCUAAUGCCUAAGCGUGGAGUCCCUCGGAGUCCGAGACGCGCUUGACCGGGUGUUGAGCCCGCGUCACCAAGUCCGCACGUCCAACGUGGCGGUACUACAACACAUGACCUCAUUGGGGUAGGACAACCCGC